GCGGGCGGCCGGCGACCCCGGGCCGGGAAGCCGCGCUCACGCCUCCUCCACCCCAGCCCUCCGUCCGGGCUGCCGGUGGGAAGGCGCUGCGGCGCCAAUGACGAGGACCGGCGCGCGCCCGACUCCGGGCGAGGGGGCACGGGGUGCAAGCGGGGGCAGCAAAGGCAAAGUCGGAGCGGGAACCCGCGGUCCCAGGUCUCCUCGGCCGAGAGGAGAGGGUCCGGGGGACAGCAGAGCACGAGUGGAGCAAGGACGGAGCAACGCAGUGCAAGAAAAGACGACUGGAACCAGCGGCCAGCCCAGGGCGCGCGGGGAUCGGGACCAGCGACCAGCUCGGGCCGCCACAGCCGCCGCCGCCGCGGGAGUCCUGCCCCUCCCCUCCCCUGGAGCCUGACUUCACUCCGCCGCCGGCGCGAGCCCGGCGUAAUUCACACUUUGCAGCCGCGGACCUUGCGCCAACCACGGCCGCCGCCAGCGUGACGUCACGACGCCGCGCCGCAGGCCCGGCGCCCCGCGCCGCCGCAGCGCCCAGGGAGACGGGCUAGCGGCGGAUGGCCUUCUGGGACUUCAGCCUGAACAAGCUUUCCCCUGCUGGCAAAAUUGAUGAUUUGGCUCAGUUCUCAAGGCACCCACCCUUCCACUUAUUUGGGAUGACUGGCCACCGGCAAGGUGGCAGGCCUUUGAAAGUACCACACAGCCUCUACCGAUGAUGAGAUCAGGCAGAUGGGAAGAAAAGUUGGAUGCAUAGUGGGAGGAAGCUUAAACAAAUUGGAGCAUAAGAGGAGAAACUGGAACCUCUGUCUUUGUGCUACUGCAUCUAACCACAAUGACACAUGGCCUGCAGAAGAAGCUGGCGCCUUUAGCCAAGGAACUGUGCCUGUGCCUAGCCCAGGAUACAGAGAAGCUGGAGAAACUAGGCCCUGCCACUGCCCCUUGGCAAUUAGAUCUCUAUUAUGGCCAACCAAAACCAUUACAAUAAAGAGAAGAGAAUUCUGGAAAAUAUAGUCCAGCUUAGCUAAGUUUAUAAUACAAAACCAUUUCAGACCUAUUCUUUUCACCUUGACAUUCAUGGAUAAUUCUUUUAAUCAUAUUUAAUUUUCAAAUAAAGACCAUAGCAGAAUCA